rnacentral:rRNA from 1 species
CAGUCGCCGCGGGAAUACGGAGGGUGCGAGCGUUAAUCGGAGUUACUGGGCGUAAAGCGUGCGCAGGCGGUUGUGUAAGACAGGUGUGAAAUCCCCGGGCUUAACCUGGGAACUGCGCUUGUGACUGCACAGCUAGAGUAUGGCAGAGGGGGGUGGAAUUCCACGUGUAGCAGUGAAAUGCGUAGAGAUGUGGAGGAACACCGAUGGCGAAGGCAGCCCCCUGGGCCAAUACUGACGCUCAUGCACGAAAGCGUGGGGAGCAAACAGGAUUAGAUACCCCGGUAGUCCCUGUCUCUUAUAC